AUGUUUUUGGCAGGGGCGCCAGUCGAACUGUUUCGCCGGACACGCUUUGCACAUUGGACCUCUUUAGAUCCAAAGACACAGGUUGUGCCACGUGUGCCUCCCAUCCAAUUAGGUGCUCCCCCAGUUUUGUUGCAACCGCUCACGAAGGGGGUCAUGAGGGGCUCAUUUCGCGUUAGUCAGAGGAGCAGAGGGACGGUGGAUCUAGCGACCGGAGGGGCGACUCAUCAGCGGCGCCUGAGAUCUGGGACAGGAGGGGUGACGGCGUCGAUUGAAUCCAGGACGGAUCUCGCUUCCCCUAGGACUAAUGGAUCCUUUGGCAGAUGUUGCAGGCACCUCUAA
rnacentral:rRNA from 1 species